UGGACUGUGGCCUGUUCAAACUCAGACUGGAGAUUUUCUGACCUAGAGGAGGAAGGCACUUAGGGAACAGGCCUCGUGGGAAUAUAUGAUGUCAGUUAUUGAGCCUGAACCAGUUCUAGUCAGCUGGACAAUCCAGCAUGACCUUUCAGCUGAGGUCAUUCCCUGCAUUCACCAAGGGAGAAGGGUCAGAGUCCACCUGGGCCUUGAUUUUUUCUCAGCUUUUGAGCUAAGAAAUACAAUGUGCUGGGCAAGAAAAUACAGCACAUUUCUCCAGUUGUCAAGAUACAUUUUUUAGAGAAAAUAAUAACAGUGUAGCAAUGUCUGAGAAACUGUUCAGGACAGAUAGGCAUGGCCUUGAUUAGAUACCAGGUGAAUGUGAGAAACAUGGGAAACUGAAUGUAGACCCUCUAGGGGAUCCUAAAAAGUAAAAGCAGUGAAGGAUCUGAUUAUUCCUUCAGUAUACAAACCUGCCACAGUUCAACUCCUAAACUUCCUAUAACAGAAAAAUCUUUUCAUAAGAAACAGAUUCACACUGCAGAGAACCUGUAAUCUGCAGGACUGUGCUGCAUGCAGAUCUGUGCAAAAGUAUGAGCUUCACUCUAAAGGUGAUGUUCUAGAAGGAAAAUGAAGUGGCAGGAGCCCACACUGUCCUGCUCAACUAACCCUCCUCCUGCUAGGCUGAGGACAGCCAUAGGAGAUUCGUGGUGAGACACAGGGGAAAGUGAGAAGAUUCCAGAGAGCUCAGAUGGGAAUAAGGGGUAGACACUACCCAGAAACACUAAGGAUCAAACAUAGUGUUUCCUGGAGAAGUUCUUGUUGACCGGGCCAGUACAAUAUCCUGAGGUGGUUUUUCUCUGGCUGUGGCUGGGAACUAUUCAGAUGGUGGGAAUCCUAAAAGGACAGAAAUCCAGGGACAGGUGAUGUACAUGGUUCUAACCACUCCUCCCAGCCUGGGCUCCCACCUCAUCUCAAAGACGUUGAAGUGAUGUUGCAGCUUUUCUGCCAAGUCCCCUUGCUGGGUGACCAGCUCCUUCUGCUUCAGCAGGUCCUUCAAAUCUGUCAUCCAGGCUCUCUUGCUCCUGUUCAUUAGAAGAUUGUGUUCUCAGUGGAGGCUUGCUCACUCACAUGCACACACAAAUUCAUGAACACACACAAGUACAUGUGUGCACACAUACAAGCACACUGUAAUGCACUAACAUGUUUAGCUUCACAGUUAAUACUAACAUAAUUAGCAACCCCCAGGGAUACUAAGGAAAAGAAGGUAAACCUGUUGGAUGAGAGAAGAACACAGAGGGCAUGAGAGAUAGGCAGUUCAGUCACUGAAGUGUCUAUCCUGCAAUCUAAUGCACAGACAGGUGGCCCUCUGGGGUCCUGGACCAUUAACAAAGUCUGCUUAAGAAGUUCCCCAGGCUGUGCAGUAUAGGAAUGUUCCCCAGCAAAGGACUACUGGAUGGUCAUGGACUAACCCACUGGUCUUGUUCACUGUUUCUCAGUUGCCCGCAAAGUGAGCAACUUCCUUCAAAAGGGGCUCCCUUUACCACAGGUUGCUUCACUUUGGACCCAAAGCAAAGAGCUCAGGAAACUAGAAAAUCUCCAUAACCAGGAUCCAAAAGAAACAGUUCCUUCCUGUGAGGUGUUUGUGCCAGGGAAUUAUUUGAGUAACAAAUGGCUGACUAAGUCAGUACCAAAUGGUUGUAUGUAUUACUUUAUGCUGAACAAUAUUCCAUGAAAGAGCUCAACCACAGUGUACUAUUCCACUCAGAGAAUGAUGGGCAUCAGGAGGCUGCUCCGAAGAGUGCAGAUAAAACCUUGAUGUCCCCUAGCUAUGUUGGGACUAUAUGGACACCUACUUCAUGUUCUGGAAUCACUGGGUCACCUGGGGAUUGCAAUUCAACUUUCUGAAGACUUGUGUGUAGCUUCUCACUGUGCUAUACCAUUUUACAUUACCAGAAAUGUCUGAGGGUCCUCAUUUCUGCAAACCCUCCAUGAGGCUGAUUUUAACUCAGAGUAAACAACUUUGAAGAAAAGCAGAUACUGCAUGUUACAGACACAGCACAUGGGGAGUAAUUUAGACCCUAAGGAGCAUAAGUGGGGUGCACUGAGACAGCCCCAUUCUCACACCACAGCAUGGCUAGGGGACUUCUGCUGGACUGAGAUGCAGCUGGAAGCACACUGCAAGUCAGAAUCUCUCAAGGACUAACAUGCAGGCCAAGCUCCAAGGCCAAGGUUAACUGAGCCAAGGUUAGACAAAGGGGGAAAGCAAGUGGUAGCGGGCAAUGUGGAUGAGGACAAAACAGGAUAUAGAGAAGACACAGAAAGCCACCUGACCAUUGAGUGUGCAGUCAUCAUUCACCCAGAGCAGACAAGGACACAAACCCUCAGCCAGUCUAUCCUGCCUCUCAGACACCUAGAUUUGCCACAGUGACCUCCUCCUCAACUUCAUGUACCACAUUCCUUUGGUUUGCUCCAAGGAUUUCUGGGCAGAUAAAUAUUUUUUUCUCUACAAAUACCUGAAAACCAUUGAGGUACAGUAGUUUUUGUCCCUUUGUUCUAGUGAGCUAGGAGUACAUGCGGAAAGAUGGGCAGCAGCAGACAGUAUUUGAUGGAUGCCAAGUGAGGGGGCACAGUACUUUUUCAACAAAGUUGGUUCCAUCAUCAUUAAAGAUGGGUAAGUGAAUAUAUAAAUAUGUAGAAAUAAAAACAAAUAAGAGAGUUUAAAAUCCACAGUACAAACACACACCUGGACCUAUAAGCACCUGUACUCACAAACACACACAAAUACUUAUCCCUAUACAUACAGGAAACAUGGACACACACACAUAUACAUUCAUCCACACAUGGUCACAUACACACACAAAGGAACACUACUGUGUAAGCAAUAGACAGUAUUCACACAAACACACACACAGAGAAGUUCAUACACACACAUACAUACAGAGAUGCACAGAAAAGCACACACACACACACACACACACACACACACACACACAUACACACCACACACACCACACAAAUACUUGCUGAACCUAGAAUGGUCAAUGAGAAGACUGCUGCACCUGUUCUGAUGUAGGGUGAGGUAGUGGGUCCUCUGUGCUGUCUACAAGGCUCUUACACCCAGCAAUGCACUGCUACCUCAGCCUGCACUUACUUUUCCUUGAAUGAAUUUUAUCCAUCACAAAACUCACUGACGCCACAGGUUCCAAGUUGACCCGUCAUAGUCUUUUCACUAAACUUAUCCUGGCUUCUCCACAGAUGACCUUUAUAGCCCAAGAAAAAUAAAGUGACCCACGGUCAACACCCAGGAAAUUUUCAACAGAUGACAGUGCAUAUGAUAUGAAUUCAGCCCAGUGUCAGUCAGAAGGAGGCCAGUGAGAUCACCUGCAGUGCUUUUCAGGAACACAGCACUCUGCACAACUAUGAGAGGGAAUCUGUUCUGAGACACAGCCAUGCACAUGAUAUAGUCAGCAACACAAUGUCAGCAAGGAGAUGCACUGUGGGAUUCCGUGUUGUGAAGCCAAUGAGACAAACCAAACAUUUCCUGUGGUGUUAGCUCUGUGCACUGAAAGGAAAGAAGCCUACUGUUUAUUUUUAAAAUAGCUGCAUUGUUUGAUUUUUGUUAUUUAUUAGAGAACACAUUAGCAUCAAAACAUUAAAGUAAACAGACAAAAGAGAAAGCAAAUGUGUCCUUCCUCUUUCUGAGCAAUUUAAAUGUGUAACAUUGGAUUAGACAAAACAAGACAGAAGGUCUACCUUGGAGGACAGGAGAUCCAAAGAGUGCUGGCCAGCUAGAUUAGCCCAAAGAGAAAAUUUCAGGGUCAGUGAAAGACCUGGGCUCAAGGGAAUAAGGGAGUGAGCAACAGAUGACAACACGGAUUUCAUUAUGUAGCCUCAGAACACACACACCAAAGUACAUAUUUACACACGCCUGCAUAGAUCACACACAGACCACAGAAAUCAGAGUGAGCAGAAAACAAUAAAGAGGAUAUCAUGCUGUAUGAACAGUUGAAUCAAAUAUGCACAUCAGGUGUUUCAACUGACACCCACUACACGGCUAUCCAUCCCUUGGGGACUAAAAAUUCCUAGGAGAGCACACAAGUUAUUCAGACUCUGUUGAGGUGAUAGCAGAAAAUGUACUCAUAUAGCCUCAAAUCAGUCACCCUAACAAUCAGCUUGUCAAAGUCCUCCCACAUCUAUGGGCAUCCAGUCAGCUCCAGACUGGAAGCUCCAGGAUGGGAGAACUGUCCAGCACCACGCACAGAAAAAGGACUGAAAAGGUGGUACUCAGGCUUCUGUCACUAUGAACCAAGAGCUUGAAAGAGGAAGAGAGCACACUGGGAUGCAGGAAAAAAGGAGAAGACCACAUGCCACCCAAAAUGUUGACAAUGAGAACCACUCACUUGGCACUGGGGCUGGACUCUAGGCCUUGAAGGCUGCUUCCUACCUGUGAUCUCACAAGACCCCUGCAAAGCAAAUGAGCCACAGGCCACUGACAUCAUCAAUGAAAGCUUUGUGUUGUUCCCAAAGUACCUCCCUGCAUAGCAGCCCUCUGAUCAUAAUGACAUGUAGGUGUGUGAUAUGUGGCUGACCCAGCUCUCUGAAUGUACUGCAGCUUCUAGGAGAGCAGGAAGGUUUGCUUGACAAUUAUCCAGUUUCUUGCAAGAGGCUACCUCUCCAGAAAGACUCGGGAAUGAUCACAGAAAUCAACAAUUAGAUGGUGUGUGGUGACAGCUGUACAAGACAAGGAACUAAUGUAGUAAUUGACCUCAUUACCCUGAAAGCUCCAGCCUCAGACUGCUUCACAGAAUCCCUCUUCUCUCUUUGACUGGACUCCUGGAGCUUGUCCUGGUGCUUGACUGUGGAUCUCUGCAUCUGCUUCCAUCAGUUACUGGAUGAAGGCUCUACGAUGACAGGGUAUUCACCAAUUUGAUUAUGGGGGUAAGCCAGUUGAGAUACCCUCUCCACUAUUGCUAGUAGUCUAAGCUGGGGUCAUACUUGUAUAUGCCAUCUGAGGCUGCUCUUGGUGACCCCUCAGCCAUAAAAUUAUUUUGUUGCUACUUUAUAACUGCAAUUUUGAUGCUGUUAUGUAUCGUAAUGUAAAUAUCUGAUAUGCAUAAAAUUUUGAAGUUCCCUAGCAUCCUGUUUCACCCUAUCCCCAUGAUAUCUCCCUCUAUCAUGGUAUCUCUUUCAUUGCUAUCCACUCUGUCCCUGUUCCAUCUUGACCAUCCCC